ACGCUGGCGGCAGGCCUAACACAUGCAAGUCGAGCGGUAACAGGAAGAAAGCUUGCUUUCUUUGCUGACGAGCGGCGGACGGGUGAGUAAUGCCUAGGGAUCUGCCCAGUCGAGGGGGAUAACAGUUGGAAACGACUGCUAAUACCGCAUACGCCCUACGGGGGAAAGGAGGGGACCUUCGGGCCUUUCGCGAUUGGAUGAACCUAGGUGGGAUUAGCUAGUUGGUAAGGUAAUGGCUUACCAAGGCGACGAUCCCUAGCUGUUCUGAGAGGAUGAUCAGCCACACUGGGACUGAGACACGGCCCAGACUCCUACGGGAGGCAGCAGUGGGGAAUAUUGCACAAUGGGGGAAACCCUGAUGCAGCCAUGCCGCGUGUGUGAAGAAGGCCUUCGGGUUGUAAAGCACUUUCAGUAGGGAGGAAAGGUAGUGGUUUAAUACGCCAUUGCUGUGACGUUACCUACAGAAGAAGGACCGGCUAACUUCGUGCCAGCAGCCGCGGUAAUACGAGGGGUCCAAGCGUUAAUCGGAAUUACUGGGCGUAAAGCGUACGCAGGCGGUUCAUUAAGCCAGAUGUGAAAUCCCCGGGCUCAACCUGGGAAUUGCAUUUGGAACUGGUGAACUAGAGUCUUGUAGAGGGGGGUAGAAU
rnacentral:rRNA from 1 species